AUACGGAGGGUGCAAGCGUUACUCGGAAUCACUAGGCGUAAAGCGCGCGCAGGCGGCUAUUUAAGUUGGAUGUGAAAGCCUACGGCUCAACCGUAGAACUGCAUCCAAAACUAUUUAGCUAGAGUGUGGGAGAGGAAGAUGGAAUUAGUUGUGUAGGGGUAAAAUCCGUAGAGAUAACUAGGAAUACCAAAAGCGAAGGCAAUCUUCUGGAACACUACUGACGCUGAGGCGCGAAAGCGUGGGGAGCAAACGGGAUUAGAAACCCUUGUAGUCC
rnacentral:rRNA from 1 species